GUGUGUGGAUGAGGAGAAAGCUUUAUACAGUUAUCCCUGUCUGAUUUAUGGGUGCUGAUAUUUGGUUAAAAUCUGACACUUUU